GACGAACGCUGGCGGCGUGCUUAACACAUGCAAGUCGAACGGAAAGGCCCUGCUUUUGUGGGGUGCUCGAGUGGCGAACGGGUGAGUAACACGUGAGUAACCUGCCCUUGACUUUGGGAUAACUUCAGGAAACUGGGGCUAAUACCGGAUAGGAGCUCCUGCUGCAUGGUGGGGGUUGGAAAGUUUCGGCGGUUGGGGAUGGACUCGCGGCUUAUCAGCUUGUUGGUGGGGUAGUGGCUUACCAAGGCUUUGACGGGUAGCCGGCCUGAGAGGGUGACCGGCGUCGUUGGGACUGAGAUACGGCCCAGACACCUACGGGAGGCAACAGGGGGGAGUAUUGCACAAUGAGCGGAAGCGUGGAGCAGCAGCGCCGCGUGAGGGAUGACGGCCUGCGGGUUAUAAACCGCUUUCGCCUGUGACGAAGCGUGGGUGACGGUAAUGGGUAAAGAAGCACCGGCUAACUACGUG
rnacentral:rRNA from 1 species